rnacentral:rRNA from 1 species
UGGGGAAUAUUGCACAAUGGGCGAAAGCCUGAUGCAGCGACGCCGCGUGGGGGAUGAAGGCUUUCGGGUUGUAAACCUCUUUCGCUAUCGAACAAGGCCCGCUUAGGGUGGGUUGAGGGUAGGUGGAGAAGAAGCGCCGGCUAACUACGUGCCAGCAGCCGCGGUAAUACGUAGGGCGCGAGCGUUGUCCGGAAUUAUUGGGCGUAAAGGGCUUGUAGGCGGCUUGUUGCGCCUGCUGUGAAAACGCGGGGCUUAACUUCGCGCGUGCAGUGGGUACGGGCAGGCUUGAGUGUGGUAGGGGUGACUGGAAUUCCAGGUGUAGCGGUGGAAUGCGCAGAUAUCUGGAGGAACACCGAUGGCGAAGGCAGGUCACUGGGCCAUUACUGACGCUGAGGAGCGAAAGCAUGGGUAGCAAACAGG